rnacentral:rRNA from 1 species
UACGUAGGGGGCAAGCGUUGUCCGGAUUUAUUGGGCGUAAAGCGCGUGUAGUCGGCCAUACAGGUCCGUUGUGAAAACUGGAGGCUUAACCUCCAGACGUCGAUGGAAACCGUAUGGCUAGAGUCCGGAAGAGGAGAGUGGAAUUCCUGGUGUAGCGGUGAAAUGCGCAGAUAUCAGGAAGAACACCCGUGGCGAAGGCGGCUCUCUGGGACGGUACUGACGCUGAGACGCGAAAGCGUGGGGAGCGAACAGG